CAGAUGAUUUUGAUAACUUUAUGCGGCAAACUUGCACCCACUCUCAACUUAUAGAUGCCUUGUAAGACCCUGGCACUGGGCCCGGUCCACUUGACCGGCCCAGCCACCAGUUCCGGCCUCACGUGCGUCGCACGGUGAGGAGGGGGAUCCAUCCCGAAGAACCCGGGAUCCCCUAGUUUUAGGGCUCUUCCCUCUUCUCCUUGAGGCCAUCCGAGAAGAGCUGCCAAACUCUGCUUCUGGUUUGGGGGUUCUUCUUCCUCGUGCUCCACCCGAGAGAGAGAGAGAGAGAGAGAGGCGUUGAAGCCCGAUCCUCUUCGGUUCGGGAGGUCCUUUUCCUCCAUUGCCGCCGGAGAGAAAAAGCCGUCGGAUCCUUACGGGGAGCGAGAUCCGAAGAAUUAGCUUGAUCCGGAGUUUUAUAAACGGGAGAGCGACUAGAAGAACUGAGGCACAAGUUAUCUUAGAUUAAAAUUUAUUUAAGUUAAAUUGUUAUCUUGGACAAUUAUUAUAAUUGUUAGAUAUUGCAAGGUUUUGUUAUUUAAAGAACUAAGUUUUACAUGUUGGUAGUUUAUUAUUCCGCUGCAUAUUUAGAACCGUGAGACUUUAUAAAUUGAGUUAGUUAAUGAAAUAAGAAUGCAUUUUAAUAGUUGAA